UGGGGCGUCGCCAAGCGGUAAGGCACCGGUUUUUGGUACCGGCAUUCGGAGGUUCGAUCCCUCCCGCCCCAGCCA
rnacentral:tRNA from 2 species